GAAGUUUUAGGUUGGCGCCGUUUGGUCGCCACGGCACACGAAACAGCGUUGGUUAUAGACAACCUUCUUUCCGCUGCAGCGAUGCGGCAGGACAGAUGACGUGUAUCAGGUCUGUUUCGUGUGCUGGAUUGUUGACGCAUUCAUUUAUUGGUAUCGCAUGAACCCCCAUCGUAAUUAAUCGGCUUCAACGGAAGCUGGGCUACACGUUUUAAU
rfam:Salmonella enterica subsp. enterica serovar Newport str. S09097 S_Newport_S09097_mira454_c998, whole genome shotgun sequence.